UAAAAUAACCCAUCAAUUCACUUGCUUUGA
rnacentral:piRNA from 1 species